AGCGGGGUGGAGCAGCCAGGAAGCUCGUCGGGCUCAUAACCCGAAGGUCACAGGUUCAAAUCCUGUCCCCGCAACCA
rnacentral:tRNA from 1 species